rnacentral:rRNA from 1 species
UCCGGUGACUCAAGCGGCGUCGACCCACCCGUUUCCAUCCCGAACACGGUCGUGAAAGGCGUCAGCGCUGACGAUACUCGGGGCGCAAGCCCCCGGGACAAUAGGCCGUUGCCGGAG